GGCCGGUUGGCCCAAUGGUAAGGCGUCUGACUACGAAAUCCUCCUAUUUGGAAAGUGGCUAAUCAGGAGAUUCUGGGUUCGAGCCCCAGGCUGGUCA
rnacentral:tRNA from 1 species